GGGUCUAUAGCUCAGUUGGCUAGAGCAUGCGGUUCAUACCCGCAGUGUCAGUGGUUCGAGUCCACUUAGACCCACCA
rnacentral:tRNA from 1 species